rnacentral:ncRNA from 1 species
CGCUAAGGUUCACCAUGCGGUGAUUAAUAGGGAACGGGGCGAAAAUCCCCGACUGUCUCGCAGCUGUGAGUCCCUUUUUAAGUACUGAAGCAAAAAAACCACUGCCCCUUGUUUCAAUCUUGGGCGGGAAGGAGCAUCAGUACGGGACGUAGUCAGAAGACCUGCCUUAAGCCA